UACGGAGGGUGCAAGCGUUACUCGGAAUCACUGGGCGUAAAGGGUGCGUAGGCGGCCUUUUAAGUCAGCGGUGAAAGUCUGUGGCUCAACCAUAGAAUUGCCGUUGAAACUGGGGGGCUUGAGUAUGUUUGAGGCAGGCGGAAUGCGUGGUGUAGCGGUGAAAUGCAUAGAUAUCACGCAGAACUCCGAUUGCGAAGGCAGCAUACCGGCGCUCAACUGACGCUCAGGCACGAAAGCGUGGGUAUCGAACAGG
rnacentral:rRNA from 1 species